CACGGGGGGUGCAAGCGUUAUUCGGAAUCACUGGGCGUAAAGAGCGCGUAGGCGGUCUCUUAAGUCAGAUGUGAAAGCCCGGGGCUUAACCCCGGAAGUGCAUUUGAAACGGAGGGACUUGAGUAUGGGAGAGGGAAGUGGAAUUCCUGGUGUAGCGGUGAAAUGCGUAGAUAUCAGGAGGAACACCGGUGGCGAUGGCGACUUCCUGGACCAAUACUGACGCUGAGGCGCGAAGGCGUGGGGAGCAAACAGG
rnacentral:rRNA from 1 species